GACGAACGCUGGCGGCGUGCCUAAUACAUGCAAGUCGAGCGAAUCAACAGGAGCUUGCUCCUGUUGGUUAGCGGCGGACGGGUGAGUAACACGUGGGCAACCUGCCUGUAAGACUGGGAUAACACCGGGAAACCGGUGCUAAUACCGGAUACUCCUUUUCCUCUCAUGAGGAAAAGCUGAAAGUCGGUUUCGGCUGACACUUACAGAUGGGCCCGCGGCGCAUUACCUAGUUGGUGAGGUAACGGCUAACCAAGGCGACGAUGCGUAGCCGACCUGAGAGGGAGAUCGGCCACACUGGGACUGAGACACGGCCCAGACUCCUACGGGAGGCAGCAGUAGGGAAUCGUCCAGAAUGGACGAAAGUCUGAUGGAGCAACGCCGCGUGAGCGAUGAAGGCCUUCGGGUCGUAAAGCUCUGUUGUUAGGGAAGAACAAGUACCGGAGUAACUGCCGGUACCUUGACGGUACCUAACCAGAAAGCCACGGCUAACUACGUGCCAGCCGCCGCCGUAA
rnacentral:rRNA from 1 species